rnacentral:rRNA from 1 species
AUGGCGUCCUCCAGCAAGGCCUGCGCCGCCGCCCUCCUUCUGCUGCUGGCCCUCGCGGUGGCCACGGCGGCCGGCGCGUCGAAGCGGAGCAUCGCGUCGGAGGCCAACCCGAGGCCGGUGGGGAAGGUCAUCGUGACGGAGCCCCCGGUCCCGACGUCGGCGCCGGCCAGCGCCGCGAAGUGGAGCAUCGCGUCGGAGGCCAACCCAAGGCCGGUGGGGAAGGUCAUCGUGACGGAGCCCCCGGUCCCGACGUCAGCGCCGGCCAGCGCGGCGAAGCGGAGCAUCGCGUCGGAGGCCAACCCGAGGCCGGUGGCGAAGGUCAUCGUGACCGAGCCCCCCGUCCCGACGUCGGCGGUGGUGGACGUGUCGGCGACGUGCAUGGGGUCGCUGCUGGAGCUGAGCCCGUGCCUGGCCUUCUUCAGGGACGCGGGCACGUCCAAGGCGCCGGCGGGGUGCUGCAAGGGCCUGGGCAGCAUCGUCCGAGACCAGCCGGCGUGCCUGUGCUACAUCUUCAACCGCACCCUGGAGCGUGCCAUCGGCGUCGACAUCCCCGUCGACCGCGCGCUUGCCCUCAUGGGCGACGUCUGCGGCCUCACGCUGCCGCAGGACCUCAUGAGCAGCUGCGGCGACAACGGCGGCGUGCCGCCACUGUACGUGUGUCCGGCGCCCUCGGCCUGA